rnacentral:rRNA from 1 species
CAGUAGCCGCGGGAAUACGUAGGGUGCGAGCGUUAAUCGGAAUUACUGGGCGUAAAGCGUGCGCAGGCGGUUCGUUAAGACAGAUGUGAAAUCCCCGGGCUUAACCUGGGAACUGCAUUUGUGACUGGCGAGCUAGAGUAUGGCAGAGGGGGGUAGAAUUCCACGUGUAGCAGUGAAAUGCGUAGAGAUGUGGAGGAAUACCGAUGGCGAAGGCAGCCCCCUGGGCCAAUACUGACGCUCAUGCACGAAAGCGUGGGGAGCAAACAGGAUUAGAUACCCGCGUAGUCCCUGUCUCUUAUAC